rnacentral:rRNA from 1 species
UACCACCCUGUCUGCGCCCGAUGUCGUCUUUUCUCGGAAGCGAAGCAGGGUUGGCCCUGGUUAGUACUUGGAUGGGAGACCACCUGGGAAUACCAGGUG